AGCAUGAUUGGUUGUGGAUCAACACUGUGUAAUUUGAUUUCAAUCUUGUGAAUUGUAUGUUCGUAUUAUUGGAUGAGAAAAUGGGUGCAUUGAGCAUCAUAGAUAGUUUGGACGUGUUUAUAAUCUAUUUGAUAUGAAACAUAGGAUUUGACUGAAAGUGGGUUCAGAUUAACAAAUUAAUAUAGGAUAUAUUAUUUGAAGACGUGCAAUAGAUCAAUUACAAUGUAAUUGUGACCUUUAUUAAUGAUUGCAUUAUGUAUGUAGCUUUGUUUCUGUAAGUAAUAUAAUUAUACAUAUAGCAUAAAAUGUGAAACGUUUGUCCAUGUUAAGAUAUUCUAUUUGAAUUAUAAAAGGGUCAGGUUGUAACUGAAUGACACUAAGUGCUAAUGAUAUGCAGUGCAACUCUCGACUGUUGGUUAGAUGUUUUGAUGCCUGAAGAUGUAAAAUCUGUUAUUAUCUGUGGAUGUUAUUUGGUGUGUAAGGGUCUUGUUUUAAUGAUCAUGAAUAUCCAUGGUUUUGUUUGUUUGAUUAAUUGACUUCAUUUCAUUUGCCAUGAAUAUUCAUAAAAUAAAUGUGUUCGACUG
rnacentral:misc_RNA from 1 species